rnacentral:rRNA from 1 species
AUGAGGGAUGCUCAACAGGGGAAGAUCAAGUUCAACAGAGAGAACGACGCGCUGACAAAAGCCCUCGGGAAUCCUGAACACGGAGGACGUGUACGAGGCAUGGGGCACAUUCCGUGGAAAAUAGGGUUCCCCCAGAACGAUGACCCGUACGGUUACAGAAGCCGUAAGAGAAAGAUGGAUCGGGAAGCAGAUGUUGUGGCGCGGUUGGCAUCGGAAAUGGAUGUGAUGAAGAAAACCAUGAGUGUACUAGUAGCCGAAAGAGAUGCAGCUUGGGUGCAGCAUGAAGAUCAUCCAGCGGAUCUCGGAAGCCAGCAGCGGAGAAGCAGCGUGGCUUCCACGGAGGCCCCACCGGCUGGUGCAGAUGCACCGACGAUCGAAAUUACUGCACCGGAGCCUCUGGUGGUCCAAAUUACUGCACCGGAGCCUCUGGUGGUCGAAAUUACUUCACCGGAGCCUCCUCGCUACCCCGUGGACGAUAUAAAGGAGAUGAAAGAAUGUCAUCUGUAUUAUCCUAUCGGGAACAUGUCCAUGAAGGUAGCCAUCGGCAGUGCUUUACCAUGUUUACCUGGAGCACUCCACCACAACAACCCCAUUCAAGAUGGCUAUGCUCGUGUCACGGUGGAGGACAUAGUCCAAGGGUUUGAGGACCUGGAGAUUGACAUUGCUACACCUGAAGGGGAGAAAAGACUUGGAGAUGUCAAGCGCCAUUUCAUUCUAUGGCAAAAGAAGUUUAUCAAGUUUCCAGGCGAGGCGCCAAGGACAACAAGUCCACCCCCCUACGGUGGUGGUGGCGGCGGUGGCGGCGGUGGUGGUGGUGGUGGUGGUGGUGGUGGUGGCGGUUCACCUACACCUCCGUCACGUCAGCCGACGCCACCCCCCAGUCCACAACGUCCGACGGGUGAUCAGCCGCCGCCCCCCAGUCCUCGUUCGGCGGGUGAUCAGACGCCGCCCCCCAAUCCACCUCCGGCAAAGAAGCAGAAGCAGUCCUGGAUUAUUAACCCGGACCCUUAUGUACCUAAGACCACAAAGGUACCGGAGCCAUCACUGAAGCCUCUCCCCACAAGGCCUUGGGAACGUAGUGCCGAGGAAGUCGACGCGGCCGCGGCUGCUGAUUUGGAGAAAUGGAAGGCGGACUGCAAGAAGAAAAGAGAGCCCGAGCCCAAGCCAGUAUUUUCUGAUGAGCAAAAGAAGUGGGCUAAGUCAUUUUUGAGCACACCGUCCCAAGCCGCGAAGAAUCUGCCUAACGACUAUGCACGUGAACUUCGCAGGCAGGCACUCAUGUUCAAGGAGAACAAAGAGCGGGAGAAGGCCGAAAGUAAAAAAAGCGGGAAACAAGUUUCCCAGCUCGGGGAACAAAGUAAACAAUCGAUUGCCCCGCUUAUAGUGGAAGCCUUCUGUCCGGAUGCCCCCGAGAUCAUACAAGCUGCGGCAGCACAGGGAUUGACUGUAACGAGUGCCAGAGAACAAGCGGCCAACUUAGAUAUUACUCUUCGUGAACUGUUAGGCCUUGAUGAGGCGCCAGUGAAGGAGGUAGUAAUUACAUAUGUCAAGAAUGGGCCUCUCGUCGAGCCUGCGCAGGAAAAGGAUCUACCUCCACAAAUGAAAGGUCUGCUGAAAUGGUACAAGGGUUACAUAAAAAAUAAAAACGCCAAAGAAUAUAUUUAUGCGGAAGUUAGACAUGAGCAUCACUUCAAACAUUACUAUGUACAAAUUGAACUGAGUGAAUUGUUCCAGCUUUUCAAUCUGCGCGAGCUCGAUAAAUCUAUCAUCAGUUGCUACGUUCUAAUGAAGAUUAAGGAAUGCAGAGUAAGGAACAUCCAUGAUGUUGGGUUCAUUGACCCACACAUCGUGAAUGGACAUGUGUUGGAGCGUUACCCCGCCGACGUGGAGGCAGACCUGUGGCAGUUUCUUACAAAGCAGGAACUCAAAAGUGAUAUUCUAUUUCCUUACCAUUUUGAGUUCCACUGGAUUCUGCUAGUAAUUAAAGUUAACACCUCAGAAUGUCUCGUCCACGACUCUAUGAAUAUGGAUCCAAAGCUUUGGGGCGGCAUGAGAAGAAUGCUGCAGAAGUAA